ACGUGUGUGUGUGUGUGUGUGUGUGUAUGUUUGUAUGUAUCCACGUUAGAGGGUUAUACAAUACAUUUCAGUGUCUUUAAAGCCCUUAUGUGUAGUAUUUUGGACUUUCAAAUUAAAGGUUGCAGAUAAUGCUGCACAUUAGUGUCAGAAGAUUUUUUGUAAAAUACUGUCAACACUUAAAAUUAAAAUUCACAUAGAGGCUGUAAAGUGUGAAGAAAUUAAUCAGUCAGAUAUCUCUUAUAGUUUGAAUAGUAUGCUUUUGGGGUCUCUUAUUUUGGAAUGAGCUCAGCCAGGGCAAAGGGAACUGAUACUUGUAAGGAUGUUCUUAUCUGUGAGAAGCCUAUUGUGCCAUUAUAAUCCUUGAAUGUAUUGUCUAAUAUAUUAAACCCAUUUAUAUAUAACUUCAUAGUAAUGGCAGCAUCAUGAUUAUUCGAAUGUUAGAAGCAUUUACAGAUACAUGUUGAUUUGCUUUUACACUGAACUUCAUACAUUUAUGAUUUUCUUUUUUAAAAGCCAGUGCAUUUUCUCAUUAUUUGUUGUAAUAUUUCUUUUUAUAAAACCUUAAGUUAUAGAUGCAUAUUAGCUUGAUGUUUAACUCUAUAACAAGCCAAAGUGACUGUGAGCCAAUAUAAAUCCACUUCAAUACCUGUUAUUAACGAUUGUGAGAUAUAAAAGUAUGGUCAUAUAGCUAAAGUAUGUCCAUAUGCCAGAGAUUUUGCAGUUGUAAACUCUGUUUUCCAUGUUUCAGUACAAACACAGCCGAGUUUUCAUUUGUAAAGACUGCAUUGAAGUUAACCUCUACACACAACCAAUGCAGUAAAGAUCGUAUUUUGUUACUAACAAUAAACACUUUCUAAUCA